ensembl:lncRNA
GUAUGACGCCGUCUCCACUCCGGUCCAGAGACGUGACGGCGGAUGAGAUCCAGCAGCUGCUGCUUGAGUCCUUCUCACCCCGGACCGCCCCGGACUUUAUACUGGGGGCGUGACCUCCAGCCUGGACGGGGCGUUGCCUUCAUGCCGGAGGGGGCGCGGCCUUCAAGCAGGAGGGGCGUGUCACUUCGUUGUGUAACACAGUCGUGUGUUUGGGUACGUAGUGUUUUGUUUUUUGUAAUUCGUAUUAAUUGCUUGGAAACCACGUCCCAAAAGUUAAUAUAUGUGUGUGUGUGUAUGUGUGUGUGUGUGUGUGUGUGUGUGUGUGUGUGUGUGUGUGUGUGUGUGUGUGUGUGUGUGUGUGUGUGUGUGUGUGUGUGUGUGUGUGUGUGUGUGUGUGUGUGUGUGUGUGUUUAGUAGUAUGCGUGUCUACGUAUGUGUCAUUGCUUAAUAACGUUGAUACCUGCAGAUCUCCGCUCUGCCGUGUUCUCAGGUCAUAACACCGUGCUGAUGUCAACUAUUUUACUGUUGAAUUAGUGUUAUGCUUUUCUGAUAGAGUGAGAUAGACAGAAUGGUAUGGGAGAGAGAGGGGAGGACAUGCAGCAAAGGACCGCGGCCUUCAGUCAAACAGUUCACCACAUGGAGAUAUGCAUGUAAACUCCCCAACCCCCCACACAGACACACACGCACAAGAUCACGUGUCACACAAACACACACAUGCAUGCCUGCAUACACACACAAACACGCAAAAAUACUUACAUACACACACACACACACACUCAGGCCGUGUAACGCGAUGGGAUUCCAGAGCUGGUCCGCAUUCCAUGCAGGUCGGCCUGCAGGCUCUGCCGUGACCCCUGGUCCUGGGAUACAGGGCGGCGAGCCGAGCGCCUAUCUCCAGCCCCCUGAUCUCCUGCUGAGCCCCCCUGAUCUCCUGCUGAGCCUGGAAGGUGUUCCUCCCCGCUGCCCGCUGCCCAGCGCCUCGCUGACCCAGGAGAGUCAGAGCAUCACCGGAGCGUUUCAGUCAAAUUUGGACUACGGACAGCAUGUGGAUCAGGUGGUAGAGCGGGUUGGUUGCUAGUUUGAUCCCAGCUCGAGGUGUCCCUGAGGGACACCCCUCUCCCUGAAUGCUCCUGUUGAGCUGGCUGUCGGUGGGUGAAUGUUAGGCAAUAUUGUAAAAUGCUUUUUCAUUCAGGCCUGGAAUAUUGUUUUGGAAUUUUAUGACAUUACUAAUAUAUCUUGUGGAGCAUUCAAAUCCCUCCGUCCAUGUGUUGGCUAAUGGGGAGAGAGAGAGAGAGAGAGAGAGAGAGAGAGAGAGAGAGAGAGAGAGAGAGAGAGAGAGAGAGAGAGAGAGAGAGCGCAAGAGAGAGAGAGAGAGAGAGAGCGCAAGUGUUUUUUUAUUUUACUGUACUGAAAUUAAUGUUCCUCACACUUGCUUAAUAUUUUUAUAUAUAUUACAUUAUAAGGCUGUGUGUGUCAACUAUUCCAGUGACUACACAACUGAACACAGUUUCACACACAAAUAUCCUGAAAUUCCUUAGAAAUAAACAGGGACAUUAAUUCAGCCACCAUGAUAAACUUGCUUCCUGGUUCAUAGAAAUUGAUUUGAAAUGAAUAGCCUACUAUUUAAAACGUGCAGUUACCUUGAAUUUGAUCAAAUUUGAUAAAUUAGAAAAUGUGGGUCAUGUUUGGGAUCAUUUUGAAUAAAAAGUGAAGGC